GCCGAUGUGGCUCAGCGGUAGAGCAGCUGAUUCGUAAUCAGCAGGCCACGGGUUCAAAUCCCGUCAUCGGCU
rnacentral:tRNA from 1 species